GGCUGGCCUCGCGCUGGAGCAACAGCCUUCUAAGCCGUGGGUCACAGGUUCGAUUCCUGUCCG
rnacentral:tRNA from 1 species